CCUACGGGAGGCAGCAGUAGGGAAUUUUCGGCAAUGGGGGGAACCCUGACCGAGCAACGCCGCGUGAACGAAGAAGUUAUUCGUAAUGUAAAGUUCUUUUAACAGGGAAGAAAGAGAAAUUUGACGGCACCUGAAGAAUAAGCUCCGGCUAACUACGUGCCUGCCGCCGCGGUAAUACGAAGGGAGCGAACGUUAUCCGGAAUUAUUGGCCGUAAGGGGGGCGUAGAUGGCAUCGUAGGUCUUUUGUAAAAAUGUGGGGCUAAACCCAGUAGGGCAAAAGAUACUGCAAAGCUAGAGUAUGACAGAGGCAAGUGGAACUACAUGUGUAGCGGUAAAAUGCGUAAAUAUAUGUAAGAACACCGGUGGCGAAGGCAGCUUGCUGGGUCGAUACUGACAUUGAGGCACGAAAGCGUGGGGAGCAAACAGGAUUAGAUACCCGUGUAGUC
rnacentral:rRNA from 1 species